rnacentral:lncRNA from 1 species
AGAACAAGAAAGGGUGGGAAAAUAAGAAAGGAAAAUAGAACAUUUUAGGGAAAGGGAAUAGUGUGUGCAAAGAUGAAGAAGUAUAAAAGAAAAUGUAGCUUAUUCCAGAAACUGCUAAAAGGAUCAAUAUGUUGUUGUGUCAUGAGAGAGCCACAAUUCUUCAAACAUAUUUAACUGCUGGAGGGAAUGGCUCAGAAUCCCAAGUAUCAGCUUCAGCACACAGACAAAAUAUAAGAAAGAAUUUGAGGUUGAUGUCAGAAGCAUUUCCAACAGGGCUAAGGAAGUCUUUUUUUGGAAAAUCUUUUCUUGGCCCUUGACAGAAGAAGCAGAAUAACUUUUCUUAGGUGGCAUAAUUCUUCAAAAUGUGUUCAUUUUGAAGAACAGGGGUGAUGGAUGGUAAUACACAGGCAGGGAUCAACAGUCCCAGAACUGAAGGAAGAGUUGACAAAUGUAUCAAAGAUGCCUAAUCAAAAUGUGUCCACGUUCUGCUGAGUAAAGUCUGGUUGAGCAGAACUAACAAA